CUGCAACCUUGCUUUUAGCAGCAUGAAGAAGGGGAAGAGAGGAGGCUGUUGUAGGAUGAGCUCCCAGACUUCAUUGAAGCUUUUCCAUGCCCACAGGCUAUGAAUAUUUUUGAAACAUUUUUCUCAUGGCUUGUUUCUAUCUGCCUCCCCCAAAGUCUACAAUAGCUUUUAGUUCUGAUUCAUUGCAAUGUGAUGUAUUCAUUGCAAUGUGAAUAUAUAUAUAUGUACUCACUACAUUUUCCAGUGGAACAAGAGAAGAUGGCAGUAUAGGAAGAGGAAUAGCACGAGUGAAGGACUGGAAGAGGGACAGAUCCCUGCGUGUUUGCACAAUGGACAGUGUAAGGGUAUGGUGAAAGUGCAGGUGAGCAGCAUGGAGUGACUCAUUUCUCUAGAAGAAACCUGGGCCUUGCAUGAAAGGGGCCUUGUAUGAAACGUGGCAGGGUUGUGAAGAGGAGAGAAAUGUGUGGUAUGCAAACCAGGAGGCCAAAGAAGUGCCAAAGAAUGGCAAGGAGGGCCAUUGGUGUGGACCGCAUCUCACAUCAUUUGAAUCAGUAAAGAAAUCCUUAUUGGGUAGCAACAAGAGGAAGAAAGAAUGAGGCACACGUGAUAGCGCUGUCAUGGACACCAUGGGUGCAAAAGUGUGUAAGCUUGAUCCGUUACCACAUAAGAUCGCAAAUGGGAACAGUCUCACCGGCUGCUUGAGGACAUGCAAGAGUGGAAGUGGGAAGAGAAAGGAAAGUCCUCCAUGUCAGGAAGUCUUGGAAACAGUCCUUUAUGCCACUUAGAUGAGGAUACUGAGACUCAAAGUGGUGAAGAGACUUAUCCAAUGUCAUAAGCUGGGAGCUAGGGUAUGACCCAAGCAGAACCUGUACACUGGAGCCCAGGAUUACUGACAAAGGACACACCUUCUCUAGCCCCUCCUGGUGGACUUCCUCAGCUACGAAGUGCUAUUAUCAUCUCCUAGAGCUGUGGUGAGAAUUAACUAAAAUAACAUGGAUGAAGCUCUUGCGCGGCACCUGGCACAUGCCCAACCUGACUGCUGUGUUCUGCCCUGAGUCUGCAGAGGCUGACCCUGGCCAGGAAAGUGGUUGGAAAAGCAUUUUUGCAGAGAGGCAGCCUGAAGGUGGUGGCUCUAUCGGGGCAAAGAACUGUAAGCAGAGACAAAAUGAAAGCCCUCUAGGCCCACAAUUGAUUCUAACGGCUGUGAGGGAAUGAGCUUCAACUACUGUUGAUGGGAGGGACUGUGUGCCAGGCACUGUGCUAGGGACUCUCAUGCAUGAUCUCAUUCAUCUUCUGCAUAACCCAAUGAGGUAUGAUCUACUAUCAAGUGUCUACAUUUGUAUUGGAUUGACUUAACAUCUCUGGAAAGCCAGAAAUCAGAGAUACAGAGAAGUAUUGAAAUGCUGAAAUGCUAUGAAUUUACUAUAAGAGAACAUUCUUCACUGAAGAGAUCUCUAGCUGCCAAAACACCCUUUCAUGCGUGAAAUACCGGGGCAAAGAGGAAGGAAAAGAGAAGAGUAUGACUCUAGGAACCAUGUUGCAGAAAUGCCAAAGGGUGGGACAAACAAGUAUGGGCUGUAAUGACUUUGGAAGAUCCAAAUAGCUAUCAUCUUGGCUGGAGAGAGGGUGACUUCCAAGCAAGGGCCUGUGCUCUGGCCUCACUCUCUGCGGCUCUGCAACAUGAGCCUCAGCAUCCCCUGUGCUACUCACUAGAAAGUGGACCUGACAGCUUUGGCAGAGUUACUAAUGUGGAGAAAGAAGAUUAUCAUGUGUGGAACGAAGGACAAUAUGAACAUUAAAUAAUGCCCUGACUCAUUCCAAAAAGAAUCUGAGAUGACCAAUAAAGCCAUUUUUAAUUGUUUAUUAGUGAACAAUAGAUUAUGAGUGCUAAAGGGAUUCAGGAAGAAGAAAGAUCAGUGCAGAGUAGAGAAGUCUGAUGGAUGCAUUGAAGAAGCUAUGCUUGAGCUGAAAUGACAAGAGAGCUGUUUUUCGCUUUCAGAAUUAUUAUGUGGCAAUGGUAAUUGACAACAGAGAAGCUGAAGGGAGGAAGUCACUUUAUGGGAGCAGAGUCACUCUCAAGUAAUAGCUGGCCAUACAGAUUGCUCUGGACCAAGGGUGAAUGUGAAGAAGAAAAGACCGGCCAGCAACACAAUGGAAUAUCUAGAGUCAUAUUGAGGGAAAUACUUAGAUUGCUGAUUUCUUAGUGGAUUUCACAAGCAGAGCUGCUUGUGAGCAGAAUGGUGAAGUAGGGGCAUGUGUUUCUGGGGUCUUAUUCCAUGGCUUCCUUCCACCUACAAGAGUCAUCCUCACGGAGUACUUGCAUUUCAGUAGAAGAAAAAAAUCUUAUAGAUGGAAGGGAAGGAUGGGGUUCCUGCUUUAGGAAGAUUGGCAUGGUCAUAAGUCUGAGCAAGGAAGGGCCCAGGGCAGCUCAGAGCUCUGAGCAGGAAGCUCUAAUUAGUUACUGAAUAUGGUGCAAGCACAAAGAGAGCGUAGUGUUUUCCCUUUCCAUCUGUGGAAGUCUUGGCCAUGCUUACUUGGGCGUUCCUUCCAGGAAACAUUUAUUUUUCCUCUUUAAUGCCCUCCUCAUAUCUAUGCUCUCAGUAGAGGAUGCCACUGCUUCUGGCACCUGGAUAAUAGAAUGAAGCUGAUUGGGAUGGAAACAGAAAAGUCAUCUCUCAGAACAAUGAGCAGAGACUGAAACUCCCUUGUACCCAGUCCCUGUGCACUGCUGUUCAUAGCCAAAUGGGCAAGGCCUUGCCAAAUGUCAUGUUGAGGUGAGGCCCUAAGUGAUAGAAAAAUAAAAAAUGACUAUGGCCACUUGCAUGUUCAGAGAAUUCAGUUUAGAAAAUGCUAUGCUGGGAGGAUCUCUCUUAAUAUCUUGUUUGCAUCAGAAUGUUCAAGUUGCAAUAUAUGUUUUUGUUUUGUGUAUUUAUUUAUUUUCCUCUACUCUAUUCUGUUAAGUCUUUUAGGGCAAAGGUAGGGUAGUCUAUACUCCCUGCGUUAUCCAUAAUGCCUAGCACUGUGUCUUGUACAUAAAAGGUCAUAAUAAAUACCUGUUGGCUAGAUAGAUGAAUGGAUAGAGUGCCUCAUUUAGAAGCAUUAUACUUCUAUGGAAAAAAAUUUUUAAAUGUAUUUUUUUCUAUGAGAUAACACAGUUCCUGAAUAGGUCAUGGGCAGGUGCUAUUCAAGUUUGCGAAGGAAAGGUUUUCCUAGAGUUAGGGUAAUUUUUUCCUCAAAUAAGAAAAACCUACAGUAAAUAAUUACUCUCCAUAUUAUCUUUAGGUUUCUUGCCAGUAUUAACAUCUUUUUUAUUGUAAGUGAUGAUAUUGUCUGUGAGAACAUUACAGUAGGUUAGUAUCCUGGGUUAAGCUAAGUGUUGUUGAAAAUAAUCCUGGACAUCCAAACAGGAAGAGAGGAAGUCAAACUAUUCCUGUUUGCAAAUAACAUGAUUCUAUAUCUAGAAAACCCUGUAAUGUCAGCCCCAAGGCUCUGUGAGAUCAGAGAUAAAUAACCUCAGCAAAGUCAACAUACAAACAUCAGUAGCAUUCCUUAUACAAACAACAUCCAAGCUGAUGGCCAAAUCAGGAUGCAAUCCCAUUCACAAUUGCCCCCCCAAAAAUAUAAAAUACUUAGGAAUACAGCUAACCAGGGAUGUGAAAGAUCUCUAUAAUAAGAAUUACAAAACACUGCUCAAAAAAUCAUAGAUGACACCAAAAAUUGGAAAAAUAAUCCAUGCUCAUGGAUUGGAUGAAUCAAUAUCAUUAAAAUGGCCAUACUGCCCAAAGCAAUUUACAGAUUUCACAGAUUCAGUGCUAUUCCUAUCAAAAUAUCAAUGACAUUUUUCGUGGAAUUAGAAAAAACUAUUUUAAAAUUGACAUGGAACCCAAAAGGGACCCCGAAUAGUCGAGGCAAUCCUAAACAAAAAGAACAAAGCUGGAGGUAUUAUAUUACCCAAUGUCAACAUAUACUACAGGGCUAUAGUAACCAAAAGAGCAUGGUACUGGUACAAAAACAGACACAUAGACCAAUAGAACGUAAUAAAGAGCCCAGAAAUAAUGUCACACCACUUACAACCAUCUGAUCUUCAAUAAAGCUGACAAAAACAAACAAUAGGGAAAAGAUUCCUCAUUCAAUAAAUGGUGCUGGGAUAACUGGCUAGUCAUAUGCAGAAGAUUGAAACUGGACACCCCACCUUACACUACAUACAAAAAUCAGUGUAAGAUGAAUUAAAGGCUUAAAUGUAAAACCUAAAACUAUAAAAACCCUGAAAGAUAACCUAGGAAAUACCAUUCUGGACAUAGAACUUGGCAAAGAUUUCAUGAUGAAGACAACAAAAGCAAUUGCAACAAAAACAAAAAUUGACAAAUGGGAUCUAAUUAAACUGAAGAGCUUCUGAACAAAAAAAGAAACUAUCAACAGAGUAAACAGACAACCUACAGAAUGGGAGAAGAUAUCUGCAAACUAUGCAUCCAACAAAGGUCUAAUAUCCAGAUGCUGUAAGGAACUUAAAUUUAUAAGCAUAAACAAACAACCCCAUUAAAAAGUGGGCAAAGGACAUGAAGAGAUACUUUUCAAAAGAAGACAUAUAUGUGGCCAACAAGCAUAUAAAAAAUGCUCAACAUCACUAAUCAUUAGAGAAAUGCAAAUUAAAACCACAGUGAAAUACCAUCCCACACCAGUCAGAAUGGCUAUUAUUAAAAGUUGAAAAAUAAUAGGUGCUAGCAAUGUUGUGGAGAAAAGGGAACACUUAUACACCACUGAUGGGAAUGUAAAUUAGUUCAGCCACUGUAGAAAGCAGUUGGGUGAUUCCUCAAAGAACUUAAAAAAACAGAGUUACCAUCCAACCUAGCAACCCCAUUAUUGGGUAUAAUCCAAAGGAAUAUAAAUUGUUCUAUCAUAAAGACACAUGCACAUGUAUAUUCAUUGCAGCACUAUUCGCAAUAAGAAAGAUAUGGCAUCACCCUAAAUGCCCAUCAGUGGUAGACUGGAUAAAGAAAAUGUGGUGCAUAUACACCAUGGAAUACUAUGCAGCCAUAAAAAACAAUGAGAUCAUGUCCUGUGAAGCAACAUGGAUGGAUCUGGAAGCCAUUAUCCUAAGCAAACUAACACAAGAACAGAAAACCAAAUAUGGCAUGUUCUUACAAGUGGAAGCUAAACAAUAGGAACACAUGGAUAUUAGAAGGGUAACAGAAGAUAUUGGGGCCUACUUGAGGGUGGAAAGUGGGAGGAAGGAGAGGAUCGGAAAAAUACCUAUUGGGUACUAUGUUUAUUACCUGGAUGAUAAAAUUAUCUGUCACCAAACCCCUGUGACAUGCAGUUUACCUAUAUAACAAACCUGCACAUGUACCCCUGAGCCUAAAAUAAAAGUUUAAAAAAAAAAAAGAAAAUACACCUGGACCCUAUUUUGAAAGACAUACUGUAGACUUGAGGGAGGAAGAGCAGAGGGAUGGAAAGGGCCCCGAAUUACCCACAAGCCAUGUGAAUGCUUAAGCAGUCAUGGACCACAAUUCUCACCACACACACACACACACACACACACACACACACACACACACACACACAGGUCUGAACCCUUACCCCUGUCUACUACUUAUUGGAGCUUGGUAGAAAAAAAGUUGUGAGUGACAGAAAAGUGAGAAAAAGAGAAGAAGAAGAAAAAUUGGAAAGUGUGGAAGAAAAAGUGGCAAAUGCAAGCAGCCCUUAAUGGAACUGUGCUGAAUUGAGAGACAGCAGAAGGUAACAGCUGGCUGGGACUUGGCCAUGAAAGGUGGAAUGUGAGGAGACAAAUGAAAUGGAAAUGCAGGAAAGAAUGGAGUGGCAAAGGAGGCUGGAGAUGGGGCAGAGGAUAGCAAGGGGAGAGAAGGAAGCACAGAAAGGGUGUGGGGGACAGGCCAGAGAGUAGAAGGCUAGAUGGAACUGACUGAUGCCACCAGUCAGAGAUGGAGACCAUUAACAAUGUGUAGGGAAACCCCUGCCUUCCCAAUAAUGAAAAUGCAGGUUUAAUCAGUACCAAGGAACACUGUGAAGUAAGGGCAUUGACUUGGGAAGUGAAAGCCGAAGAUAGAGCAAACCCCAUACGGCAUAUCCUAACUCGCCAUUUUAACAGCAGAAAGACUCGAAAAUACAAAGCAAAGGAUUAUCCAAAGGGCUUUUUAAAAUAAUGCUUAAAAUUUUAAUCUUGUAAAUAUAUUUCCCUUCCCAGUAUGAAAAUAAUUCCGAGUAUAAUCUUUAUUUACUUUCCCCUUUUUAUUUUAGAAGAGUAAACAUAGCUUUAAGAAUUAAAAAAAUCAGUUAAUAAUCUGACUUUUAAGUCAGCUGUAAAAAUGUAAGUUUCUAGCUCUGCCACUUUUUAGUAGUGUGACUUUGGGCAAAUUGCUCAAAAACUCCAAAUUCUUGUUUCUUUACCUACAAAAAAGGGACAAUAAUACAUACCUCCUAUGAUAGUAGAAAAUUACGUGAAAAUAUACUCCAAGUAUCUCAGAGGGCUUGAUUUCCAGAAAGCGCCCAAGCUCAAUCAAUAGUGACGUUUACUAUCCACGCAGCCAGUUCUACUACUGGGAGUUGGUUGGUGCUGAUAAAGCUUUUUGUCAGACUUCUCACAAUUUCCAUUGUGAGAAGAUGUAGCUUCCAAUUAACUCUGUCACUGAUUGUUGGGUAACUUUGGGCCAAAUGCUGUUCCUUAAUGAAUGUGGGUGUGAAACUUAUUAAGAUUAAUGACUGUCACAGCUGUUAGCCAGAUGUUUACAUAAUUCCCUCUGUUUUACAGCAAUCAUAUCAGAGGAAAGGGGUUGAAUGAUAGAAUUAGAAAAAUAAGUACAAUAUUGUGGGAAUGAAUAAAUGUUGUUUUGGAGGGUAGGAGAUUAAAAUCCUAAAUGUAUUUUGAUUAGGCUAAUAUUAAAAAUUAGCAUCUGUAAAUCAGUAAUCUAAUUGAAGGAAUUUUUUAACACAAGUGACUGGUGGAGGGGACACAGCAUGGGAGGGCAUGCUUACAGCAAGAGCUCCAUUGAUUAAAUAGUCCCCUGCAGAACACAGAGAGUUAAAUACGUCUUUAAUAGCCUCCAGCAUGAAAGGGCAAAUCAUUUGUUUUAAUUGAGGAAGGAUAAAAUAUUUUUGCUUUACACAUAUAUGUUCUAUUUUAGCAUCAUAGUUAUUUUUAUAGCUGUUAUAACUUCACAAAACCUAAUAGGAAAAUAAAUCUGAAUCCAGAAGAGUUCAAUACUUUCCAGAGGAGUCUAGUAAAUAAAAACUCUACACUGACUGACUGAUCUUAUUCAUGCACUGCUCCUAAACCCAAACUCUCAAGUGAAGGGAAAAGAGGUUAAUUCGUUGGAAUAAAUUCAUGGGAUUUUUUUUUAAAGACACAUCCUGAAUCAAAGUGAUUAAAACAACAAAUGGAUAAAGGGUAGAGCUGUGAGAGGACAAGGUUUGCAUUACUGAGCAUCUUGAUUAUGUGGGGAAGAUGGGAAACAGAUCUUGCCCAUUCUGGUCUCAAACUACUAAAUCCUGAGAAUGCCAAGAGGCGAGUCACUGAAGUCAGAAGUUGGAAACAUGGCUAAGCUGUCCAGAGUGUGGAACACAUGGUCUCUGAAGGUUUUUAUUAGUGUGUGGGUGAGAGUUCAGAAGCUCUACUAAUUACUUUUGUUUUCAGAAUUUAUAAAGUUAAGACAGAAAGCGGAAUAUUAACACUUCACUUCCUCGUGCAGUCAUUAAUUUACUCACUUAGCAUACAUUUAUUCAUAGAAGCUUAUUGGUACCAAGUAUACCCUCAAUGAGCAACCAACCCAAAAUUGCAAAAGGGAGAUCAAACAGGGAAGCUGUGGUAGGAAGUAUCAUGGCCUCUUCAAAGAUGUCUAUAUACUAAUCACAGAAUUUAUGUAUAUGUGAUGCUGUAUGUCAAGGGAAGAUUAAGGUGUGCAGAUGGAAUUAAGGUUGCUAAUCAGCUGACCUUAAAAUAGGAGUACUAUCUUGGAAUAUCUGGGUGGGCUCAAUGUAAUCACAAAUGUUCUUAACAGAUAGAAGAAGAAGGCAGAGGAGUCAGUGUUGGAGUGAUGCCAUGUGAGAAAGACUCAACUGGCCAUUGCUGGCUUUGAAAAUGGAAGGAGGCAUAAGCCAAGGAAUGAAUGCAGGUGCCUCUAGAACCUGGAAAAAGCAAGGAAACAAAUUCUCCUCUAGAACCUCCAGAAGGAAUGCAUUCCUGCCAACACCUUGAUUUUUAGCUCGGUGAGACCCAUGCUGGACUUCUGACCUGCAGGAUUGCAAGAUAAGAUAUUUGACUUAUUUUAAGAUGCUAAGUUUGCAGUAAUUUGAUAUGGUAGCCAUCGGAAACUAAUACCGAUGCCAAAGCAGUAAAGCAGGAAAGCACUCCAAAAUCACAGGAGUGAGAGGAGCAGAAAUGUCCUAGGAGAAGACAAUGUUUCCUUUUGAAAAGGAAAGUUUACUGGCAACUUCCAUUUGAAUUUCUUAAUUUCUUUCCUCAGUGGCAGUCACUACUUCCAAGGUGGCAGGUUCCAGAGCUGAUUCAUUAUAUAAUCUUUUCUCAGGAGUAUUCUAGCCACCUUUAAAGAAGCUAGGGCCAUUUUCCUGACACUGCAUCAAGGGGUAAGGUUAGUGGUAAAGAAACCAUGCGGUAGGAAAGGCCAACUUUCUCCCUACAUAAUCCAAUCGCAUUAUCUCCAGACUUGCUCACCCUCUGCUCUUUGCAUACUGCAGCUCCAGAGCUUUCAUACCUACAGACUUCCUGGAGUUAAGACUAAAACAAGAGUUGUGCUACAGACUACCGUUCCUAUUAUCAUUUUUUGUGUCCUGCUGAGUCCUCCCCUCUUGGCAACUUCAGGACCACCCACUGGGAAGAUAAUAUACAACCCAUCAGGAAACUCCCAGUGCCCAUCGUGGAGGCCAAGUGCUGCCAACUCUGAUUGCUUCUGGAAUGCCAUUUCUUCCCUGCCCUUUCAAUAUUCUUGUUAUGCGACUCCUAUGAUCACUGCCAAUCUGUAGAAAAUUACAGGAUGAAUUUUUGUGAAGGACUGAAUUUGCAUACUGGUCUUUUGUUGUUUAUUGUUGGGGGGAUUUUGCUUUUUGCACACAAUUUCUGCACAUUUUAUUGGAAGUUAUUGGGUUAGAUUCAUCCCAUUCAUUCACUAGCCUGGCAUUGCUAUGCAUGUGCUGUAGGGGCUUAGCAUUAAACGAUUUUCUUUGUUCAGAUUUGGAUUGCUGUCUCUGCUUGCAAAUUAUUUUUCACAAUGACUCCUUCUUUUCCUUCUCUCUCUCUCUCUUUCUCUCUCUCUCUCUCUCACACACACACACAGACACACACACACACACACACACACACACACACACACACACACAGAUGAGGUUAGAUAUUUUUCCAUUGCCAAGUUCAGGACCCAUGAAUAC
rnacentral:lncRNA from 1 species